AAAGGCGCUUUCGGGUGUCGCUGAUGGAUGGACCCGCGGUGCAUUAGCUAGUUGGUGAGGUAACGGCUCACCAAGGCCACGAUGCAUAGCCGACCUGAGAGGGUGAUCGGCCACAUUGGGACUGAGACACGGCCCAAACUCCUACGGGAGGCAGCAGUAGGGAAUCUUCGGCAAUGGACGAAAGUCUGACCGAGCAACGCCGCGUGAGUGAAGAAGGUUUUCGGAUCGUAAAACUCUGUUGUUAGAGAAGAACAAGGAUGAGAGUAACUGUUCAUCCCUUGACGGUAUCUAACCAGAAAGCCACGGCUAACUACGUGCCAGCAGCCGCGGUAAUACGUAGGUGGCAAGCGUUGUCCGGAUUUAUUGGGCGUAAAGCGAGCGCAGGCGGUUUCUUAAGUCUGAUGUGAAAGCCCCCGGCUCAAC
rnacentral:rRNA from 1 species